AGCUCUUCAACUCGUACUCUAAAAUUCUUCAUCUCCUCCUGUAAGGCAAAGGAUGCCAUGUGAAAUUCUUCAGAGAAGUCUGUUGGCUGCUAGUGGACCCAUGACCACUCCUACUGUCAGACUCACUGAAAUAUGCUAUUUUCUUUUAGCAGCAGGGAACAGCAUAAAUAGCAUCGGUGCUACAACUUUCUCCCCUUUUCUCAUCACUCUGACAGCUGGACUCUGUCUGUUUAUCAGGAUU